rfam:Cariama cristata contig22554, whole genome shotgun sequence.
UCAUAGGCUUUUUUAAAAGCCAUCUCCAGUAUGUCAAGCUUCAGAU